rnacentral:lncRNA from 1 species
AUAGGGUCUGGGUGCUCAAUGUGAGAGGAGCGGAUUUCGAGCGUGUGUGUGUGUGGAGGGGGAGGGUGGUGGUUUAUUUUCUUUAUUUUCUUUUUGCCAAGCAGGCGGGCAGGAGGCCACUUUCAUUAUUAUUAUUUCUUUUUCUUUCUUCCCUCCUCCUCCUGCCUCCUGCUCUCCGGGCCUGCAAUGAGAACUUAAGGACCGAGUGAGUGCGGACGGGGGGCGGGCGGGCGCACAGCCGCGCAUUUACGCUCGGAACAAGCGGCGAGAGGCGCCGCGAAAAGUCGAUCCCGCUGCGCUCCGCGGGUGCGAAGGGAGUCCCAUCCGGCUUGCCUGCUGCCUCUGGAAACCGGUGUGAGUCGAGCGUCUCUAUGGAUUGGCGGAGAGAUCCACUCGAGUCCUGAAUUCCAAGUCCAGGAUUCCGGAAGGUGCUGCUGACCACAUUGGAGGAGCGGCGGCGGCCGCCCGCUUACUUUGACCAAAGAAAGAGAGAGAGGGAUGGCGGUGGGACGCAGCUACCAGGACAGCUGGUGAGAAAAUGCCUUUUUGGUGUCAAUAGAUAGGGUUUUCGCUCCUUCUCAUUUCCCCCCCCCCAUCUCUCCCCCUUUUUUUACUCUGGAUCUGGGAGCAAGUACUCGGGUCCUACUGGCGAGCAGCGACGUGACCUUUCUGGGGAACCGCCUAAACUGCUCUGCCUCCAUCCAGAAAGGUACGUCGGUGUGCGCAACGCGAGUUCAUUCCCCCCUCCCCGUUUGUCCACGCGCCUCCGAAUUAAUGGAGAGAGUGAGUUCGGUUCUGUCAAUGGAGCUGCCAAUCUCCUCUGGGUCUCUGCUCUAGCAAAGGUGUCACGUCGCCCCGUCUAUGGAAGGGAUCGAGCCGAGAUGGACGGGUGGAGAGAAGGUCGGUUUGCCCCACAGGGCGGCGGGCGCAGCUUCCACUUUCCAUGCCGUUGCUGCGCUGCUCUGCUUCCUCCCUGUUGAUGGGAGCGUAGCAGGAGUGCCAACUUGGCCCCACGACCGUGGUGCCCGGGGCCGGGGGUGCUAUGCAGCGUGCAAAAUUUGUGGGUGCCAGGCCCCUUCAUGGGGAAUUUUAUGGGUGCUCAGGGCCCCAGGGAGUUGGUACCUAUGGAGCGUAGAAGGGGGCGAUAUUGUGUGUACAGUUAGAGGGGGGGGGGGGAACGGAGGCUUAUGAUCAAAGCUGACGGAGGUGGGGAGCUGUUGGAAGCAGCAAACUUUCAGCGGCUCCUUCACACUCGCUGCAUCCGGAAAGUGACAGCGGCCGGCCGGUCCAAUCCUUUUUUCCAUCACUGUGAUGGGAAAGUUGAGCAGUAAUCCGGAAAAGUGGGAGUUGGUGGGGGCAGGGAGGGAAAAAAUGUAAAACCCUGCCCGCUUUUAUGCGGGUGAAAUUAUCUUUCGCCAGGGAGAAAUGCCCGGGUCUGGUUAGAGCUUCUGCUUCCCCACCCCCCUUGCACAAAAGCCCCCUUUAUAACAACCCUGUUGUCUGCGGGGAGCGAGGUUUCCAAGAUGCUCCCGACUUCGCGACUCGCCGAAGCAGGCGCGAGUCUCUUUCCAGAGGGCGCUUCUGCUGCCUUCGCGUCUGCUCUCGGCCUCGAGGACGGGUCGGCAGCCGGGCAGGUUUAAAGGCCCGGAGCCGAGGGCGGCAGUGCAAGUACAGGGAGACGCCUGGAGAAGAAGCGACGCCAACCUCCUCCAGAGCAGAUAUGGGAGCCGACUGUCUUCACGGGACCCCCCUCUUUGCCUUCCACAAAGCGCUGGAAGCCUGCUUGGUAUGUUUGCGCGUGUUUAAAAACGACUUGCGUGCAAGCCAGCCGGCUGGAUCUUAAGCUUCAAAGUUCAGCCGUUUUGGUAUAAAAAUGUUACAAAACUGGUUGAAAUUGUGGUGGUGGUUAGCGAAUCGAGCGUUAAUUCUGGGCUCACCGCCUCAGCCCGGGGGCCGGAUCCCUAGGCGUGCUCAAAGUUGCCACUGCCUUCGUUGUUGUCCCAGGGCAGGAUUAACGCGGCGCUCCAGCACAGUCGUCCGGCUGGCGCCUGUGGGAUGGGUGCAGAGGAAGGGAGGAGAGACUUGGGUGGUUUUCACGUGUGACGCGCACAGUUACCUGGGAGUAAGACACACGCGGAACACACCCCCCCCCAGGUUUUACUUAAAAGUAACCCCGCAGGGUCGGGCUGCAUAAGCGCGCCAUUGAGCCCCGCCCCCAGCCCAAGUCACUGCUUUUUAUUUGUGUGCUCCGUGGGAAUAUUGUUCGUGUGGGACAGAAACGGCAGGUGAGAAACGAAGGCUGUGCGCUGGGGCGAGGCUUUUUAUGCUGACCCAGACCGAUUUCAGCCUCGCGUGUGAACAUGCGGUUAAAAGUCUUUUGUUUUGCUUAGUGUACCACAGGGCUGGAGAGGUUAGCAGGGCAUAAACUUGAGGGAGGAAACGUUUUCCUUGGCUCCAGACUGGGAGAGGAAAAGUCGGCUCCUCAGCCGCGCCAGCGGUCUGCGAGCCAAGGUCUCUCUCUCUCUCUCUCGCUCCCUCGUCCCAGCACGGACUGCUGAGGUGAAAGCUCACGCGCGCGCUCCGCUCCCGGGCCCGCCUUUAUUUCUCCCUCUCCCCUCCCGCCGCGUGGUGGUUUCUUUUUCUCUCCUCCCUGUGCACCAGAAGCUCCGCUAGGAGGGCGGUAGGCGUGGCCCUGAGCCUCGCGCAGCUCCUGCCAACUCUCCCUGAGGUAAAAACGCUGUGCGAAGACUGGAAGGCGGCCGCCGUCGAGGUUGUUCGGCGGGCCGGCCGGCUUCUUCUUGUGCCCGCGUAAAGCGCGCAACUGGCGGGCAAUUAAUUAAUGAGCUCGAGGCCCGCGCGUUCCUAGGGAGCCAAGGUACACACGCUCCGCUCUUCAUUUUUGGGGAGCCGAUGACUUCCCGCGGCUUCAAGCGUCCGCGCCUUCGCCGGGCCAGCAAGUGCGAGAAGAGAAGCGCUUUUCACAAGUCGCGAGUGAGUCUCGGGCCUCUCGCGCUUGGCACGCGAUAGUAGCUCGUGUGGAAGAUGUGUGCGGGUGGGGUGUGUGUGGCGGCUUUUGUACUGCGAAUGAGCAUUCUGGGCAAGCGUAGGCUUUAUAUAUCCACCUUUCAGGACCGACUAGAGCAGAGUUGCUUUCUGAAGCUUGUGGAAAGCGGGACUGCCCACCCAGCUUAGCAGUUUUUAGGCUAUCUGUUGAUUGGUGAAUCGGUUAAAUGGGCAUAAUUUGCAUAUGGUGAAAAACAGCUCUGAAGC